rnacentral:rRNA from 1 species
UGGCCUCAAAUCGAGUAGGACUACCCGCUGAACUUAAGCAUAUCAAUAAGCGGAGGAAAAGAAACUAACAAGGAUUCCCCUAGUAACGGCGAGUGAAGAGGGAAGAGCUCAAAUUUUGAAUCUGGCACCUCUGGUGUCUGAGUUGUAAUCUAGAGAAGUGCUUUCUGUGGCGGACCGUGCACAAGUCUCCUGGAAUGGAGCGUCAUAGAGGGUGAGAAUCCCGUAUAUGGCACGGACUCCCGUUGCUCUGUGAAACACUCUC